UGCUUACCAAUGAUGGUGAAAAAAAAAAUGUCUGAACAAAUGAACUCAAAUGAUAUCAGUAUUUUCUCUGAGGUAAGCU